GAGUUCAAUGCUUGGCCCGCUUCCGUUUGGGGGUGGGGGCAAGCCCUUUCCCGGGUUCCCUUAGACAGUCCUGCCUUUGGGCAGUCUUUUGUGCCUCCAGUCCCCUAAUCCGCCCUCAUUCUUUUUCCGGAACUUCCCUCGGAGGACUCUACUACUGCUCGGGAUGCUCCACAGGUCCGCCAAGUGGGUGAGAAGAGCCCUGGCUGGAGUCUCUGCCCAGAAUGAGUCACUUCCGUUCACAGACUCCCUCCUCCGGAAUCUGGCAAAGAAAAGUAUCAAAAUGGGGAGGAAGCCAGGCGUGGUGGCAUACGCCUAUAAUCCCAUCCCUCAGGAAGUGGAGGCUGGAGGACUGCUGGGAAUUGAAGGCCAGCCUGUGCUACAUAGGGAGUACCAGGACAGCCAGGGAUACAUAGCAAGACCCUAUCUCAAAACAAAAUAGACCAAGUGGAAGGCCGUCCUGAAUCAUGACUCAGCAGCCACUUCGAGGUGUGACCAGCCUACAUUUCAACCAAGACCAAAGCUGCUUUUGCUGCGCCAUGGAGACAGGCGUCCGGAUCUACAAUGUGGAGCCACUUAUGGAGAAGGGGCAUCUUGACCACGAGCAGGUAGGCAGCGUGGGCCUGGUAGAGAUGCUGCACCGAUCCAACCUGCUGGCCCUGGUGGGCGGUGGGAGCAGCCCCAAGUUCUCUGAGAUCUCAGUGAUAGGGCUGCUCUAGAAUGUGCUUUAUCAGCGAUCUGGUCCACAAGUACUCAUGCGGUAUGAGGCACACACUGACUAUUUGAUGAAAGCGGAAGCAAGUGGUUGAGAUCCUGUGAGGAGCAGGAGUGGGCACCCAGGCUGCCUGUCACCCUAAACUUUGGUCUUGCCAACCCACCCAUCUGCCUGGCAGUGCUGAUCUGGGACGAUGCCCGAGAAGGCAAGGACUCCAAGGACAAACUGGUGCUGGAGUUCACCUUCACCAAGCCAGUGCUGGCUGUGCGCAUGCGCCAUGACAAGAUCGUGAUUGUGCUGAGGAACCGCAUCUAUGUGUACUCCUUCCCUGACAGUCCAAGAAAGCUGUUUGAGUUUGACACUCGGGACAACCCCAAGGGGCUGUGUGACCUCUGUCCAAGCCUGGAGAAGCAGCUGCUCGUGUUUCCUGGACACAAGUGUGGAAGUCUGCAACUUGUGGAUCUCGCAAGCACAAAGCCUGGUACUUCGUCGGCGCCAUUCACUAUCAAUGCACAUCAGAGUGAUGUGGCCUGUGUGUCCCUGAACCAGCCAGGCACUGUAGUGGCGUCAGCCUCCCAGAAGGGCACCCUUAUUCGUCUCUUUGAUACCCAAUCCAAGGAAAAGCUGGUAGAGCUUCGAAGAGGCACCGACCCUGCCACCCUGUACUGCAUUAACUUCAGCCACGACUCCUCCUUCCUCUGUGCUUCCAGUGACAAGGGCACUGUCCACAUCUUCGCUCUUAAAGACACCCGCCUUAACCGCCGCUCUGCGCUGGCUCGUGUGGGCAAAGUGGGACCUAUGAUUGGGCAAUACGUGGACUCUCAGUGGAGCCUGGCCAGCUUUACUGUGCCUGCUGAGUCAGCCUGCAUCUGCGCCUUUGGUCGAAAUACUUCCAAGAAUGUCAAUUCUGUAAUUGCCAUCUGUGUAGAUGGGACCUUCCACAAAUAUGUCUUCACUCCUGAUGGAAACUGCAACAGAGAGGCCUUUGACGUGUACCUUGACAUCUGUGAUGACGAGGACUUCUAAAGCAUCCUGGCAGCUGUACUGGGAACCUACAGUACCGAUGGCCGGCCGAACUGAGUCUUGAGGGUGUUGAACCAGCCAGCAAGCAUAAAUGAGCCUUUCACUCUGCAUCAAACACAGCUGUGUCUAAAUAAACAGCUCGCUUCCACGAGCACUUUUUGUGACUGGAGUGCUAAAGGCCAGAGGACAGCUUAGUCUGUCCCUGGGCCUCCUAGUCUGGAAAACACCAGGGACCCAAAGGGAUUAUACUAAUCCAACCUAAGGAUUUAAAAAUAAUGGUUACCAGGAGAUAGUCUCUGUAAUGUAUAUGAAUAAAAGGCCUUUGAGUGGCA